AUCUCGUUUACGGGGGGGGGGGGUGCUGAGAACGAUUUUUGACGGGUUACUGCGGGUUUUGCCGCGCGGUCUGCUCUCGCUCUCGCAGCUGCCUUUCGGGCCUACUCGCUCUUGGCGCAGCCGCCGCACCCGCUCUCUCCGGGGGCGGCUCCGCCAUCUUGGACAGCGUUUCCUGCCGCGUCCCUCCCGCUAGGAAAUGUCGCUCGAGACGCUGGCGAGGCAAUUGGGGUUUUUACCCCUUGCUUUUCCUCCUUGGGCUAAAUCACACUGGGGGAGAAAGUACGACGAGCAAGGCUAUUAGAAUCCUACAGCGAGCGGCUAACGUGGUGCUCCUCCGUCUCCCCUCUUCCUUCCCCGCGGGGGUGGCCGCCAUGUUUAUUGAACACAAAAUGGCGACACGUGGCCUGGAUGCGUCGCCAGAGGCCGGGGUCGACCCGAAAGCUCUAGAAUGCGCUCCUUCUUGCCUAUUCCUGUGCCGCGUGUUUUUUGAGCUCUCCAGGACCGGAGCCUGCACCAACGCCCACCCCCAAGAAGUUUAAUGCUGCUUCCCUGCUCCCCUUAAUUUGUAAUGGAAGUGUGAAUAAGUGUAAAAUGCAGGCGCAGUAUUGACUCUCUUCGUCUUUUUAAAUUUAGUAAUGGAUAGUGGGGGACAGGGCUAAGGAAAAAUUUUAGGUCCUCCACCUCCUAUCCCCCCAGUACCAAAGCACUUAGUUUAAGGAGUGAGAUGGGAAAUUAUUGCUUUCCUAGACCUCGGACCAUGGCUCUGACUCUUCUGUAUCAAGAUACAGUUUUAUGCAGUCUUCUAAAAGAAGUUGGCGAAUGAGAGCGUGGAGACGUGUGACUUUUGCACAGGCCAUCUGGCCGUUUAGCUGGUGCUUGCUUUUACAGUGUAGAAAAGGCAGGUCCUGUGUUAGGUGUCAGUCACACUGUAGUAGCUUUAAUUUUUGCCACCAUCCUCAAAGCAGGUGUUACCAUAUCUGAAUCUCUUUUGUUUUUUAUUUAACAGAGGAGGACCCUUAAACCUAGAGAGAUGAGGUGACUAAUUCAAGGUCACAGUGUUGGGAGUGGAAUCCAGACCUCCUGAUUUUCUUGCUGACUGCAUUAUCUUGUGAAUUCCACACCACUCAUUUUAUGGAUGAAACCCCUAAGAUACGGAACAGUGAACUGAAUAGUCACCACCCCACCCCUGGAGUCUCACACAUGACUCUUCUAUUCAAGUGACCACAGUUUCAGAAGUAACCAGGAGAUACAGCAACAUCCUUGGCCAUUGAACAAAGCAAUACCCAUGGGCCUGUGCUACUGCCUGCAGUAAGGGUCCCACUAUAUAGCCCAGGCUGGCCUUGAACUCGAAGUGAUCCUUCUGCUCCACUCUCAUGAGCGCUGGGUUUACAGUCAUGCACCACCAUACCUGGCCUGAAUCUGAUUAUGUUUUGCAGGGUUUCACUGUGUAUUCUCGGCUGGCUGCCAACUCAAGAUCCUCUUGCUUCAGUUACUGGGAUUACAGUGUCUGUCCAAGUUUUCCAAGCUGGUUCAAACUUGUGAUCUUCCUUCCUCAGCUUUCCAGAGAAGGUUAUAAGCAUCAUCAUCAGACUUGGCUAGCUGACUUAAGAGGUACAAAGUGGGCCUUUUCCUACAACUUGGGGAAAUGGAUAAUGAUGUGCUAAGUCUUUACAACUGCAUUCCCUCGUUCAUCUGGAUUGUUACUUCUACUGUUACUACUUCAGAGAGCCCAGGGAUCGAACUCACGACCGCCUGCUAGCAAGGCAGGUGCUUAUGCCACUGAGCUAAAUCCCCAGCCCCAGGGGAAAAAAUUUAAAUGGAGUUGGGAGAAACAGUAGAGAAAUGGAAGAAGAAGAAGACGGAGGAGGAGGAGAAGGAAAAGGAGUAGAAGAAGGAGAAGAAAAAGAAGAAGAGCUUAUAAGCAAGGCUGGAGGUCAAAGGAAGAUCAUGCAAACUUUGGGGAAGAUAGGAGGGAAAGAGAGAAGAAAGAAAUAAAAACAAGAACAGAACAGAACAGAACAACAAGAAAAAAGCUGGAAAAAACAAUGAAGAAACAAACAAGAACAAAAAAAAAAAGAGAAAGAAAAUAAGAAAUGCCCUUUUAAGCUGGGCUUCAUGUUGCUGGGGGACCAUUGUGCCACUCUGGUGGGAACACUUGCCAACAGAGAUGAAGCCUGAACUGCAAGACAAGAGAAAUGGAGACUAUAUGACAGCUUUUGAGUACCUGGAUCUUACCACGCCUUAAACUAGUGAAACCAUGGAUAUUUCCUUUACAUGGAUCUACACCUUCUUUUUCAUUCUCCAUCUCUUAAUGAGAAUUUGACUUGAAUUUUUGUCACUUGUAGCUAUAAGUGCCUUAAUUAAUCAAUGACAUAAAAUAUA